rnacentral:rRNA from 1 species
AGGUCCGCCUGCCCUGUGAUUUUUUUAACGGCCGCGGUAUCUUGACCGUGCGAAGGUAGCGUAAUCACUUGUCUUUUAAUUGAAGACCCGUAUGAAAGGCAUCACGAGAGUUUAUCUGUCUUUAUUCUCUAAUCAAUGAAAUUGAUCCUCCCGUGCAGAAGCGAGAAUAAGCGCAUAAGACGAGAAGACCCUAUGGAGCUUUAAACACUUAAGUUAUUUUUAAAUAUCGAAAAUUUUCCUACCUUUGGGUAUAAAACAUAGAAUAAUCUUCUAACUUAACUUGUUUUUGGUUGGGGCGACCAAGGGGAAAAACGAAACCCCCUUAUCGACUGGGUGAGAAAUCACUCAAAAUUAGAACUACAGUUCUAAUAAAUAGAAAAUCUAACGAAUAAUGACCCAGGAAAUUAUAUCCUGAUCAAUGAACCAAGUUACCCUAGGGAUAACAGCGCAAUCCUUUCUUAGAGCCCCCAUCGCCGAAAGGGUUUACGACCUCGAUGUUGGAUCAGGACAUCCUAAUGGUGUAGCCGCUAUUAAGGGUUCGUUUGUUCAACGAUUAAUAGUCCUACGUGAUC